rnacentral:rRNA from 27 species
AAAUUGAAGAGUUUGAUCAUGGCUCAGAUUGAACGCUGGCGGCAGGCCUAACACAUGCAAGUCGAACGGUAACAGGAAGCAGCUUGCUGCUUCGCUGACGAGUGGCGGACGGGUGAGUAAUGUCUGGGAAACUGCCUGAUGGAGGGGGAUAACUACUGGAAACGGUGGCUAAUACCGCAUAACGUCGCAAGACCAAAGAGGGGGACCUU